AAUCAACGCUGGCGGCGUGCCUCAGACAUGCAAGUCGAACGAUUAAAGCUCUCUUCGGAGAGUGUAUAGAGUGGCGCACGGGUGAGUAACACGUAAGUAAUCUACCCUCGAGUGGGGAAUAACGUCCGGAAACGGACGCUAAUACCGCAUAAUGCAGCGGCACCGCAAGGUGACAGUUGUUAAAGGAGAAAUUCGCUUGAGGAGGAGCUUGCGGCAGAUUAGCUUGUUGGUAAGGUAACGGCUUACCAAGGCUACGAUCUGUAACCGGUCUUAGAGGACGGUCGGUCACACUGACACUGAAUAACGGGUCAGACUCCUACGGGAGGCAGCAGUCGGAAUUUUGGGCAAUGGGCGAAAGCCUGACCCAGCAACGCCGCGUGAAGGAUGAAGUAUUUCGGUAUGUAAACUUCGAAAGAAUAGGAAGAAUAAAUGACGGUACUAUUU
rnacentral:rRNA from 1 species